GAGAAUUAACUUAGAGUUAAAUGUGAGAAUGGUAGUGUUGUAGGUGGAAAAGUGUGAGAUUUUGAGGGUUAAAAAGCCAAAUUUGGGGAUAGUGGGAAUUGGAGUCUAAAGUGAGUUGAUUCUAGUUUAGAAUGUCAAUUAGGACUUGUAAAAAAGCUUGGUCAGAGAAAAUGAGGAAAAUGAGUGACAAAUGUGAAAGAAAAGAGCCAUUUAU
rnacentral:lncRNA from 1 species